GACGAACGCUGGCGGCGUGCUUAACACAUGCAAGUCGAACGGAAAGGCCCUGCUUUUGUGGGGUGCUCGAGUGGCGAACGGGUGAGUAACACGUGAGUAACCUGCCCUUGACUUUGGGAUAACUUCAGGAAACUGGGGCUAAUACCGGAUAGGAGCUCCUGCUGCAUGGUGGGGGUUGGAAAGUUUCGGCGGUUGGGGAUGGACUCGCGGCUUAUCAGCUUGUUGGUGGGGUAGUGGCUUACCAAGGCUUUGACGGGUAGCCGGCCUGAGAGGGUGACCGGCCACAUUGGGACUGCGAUACGGCCCAGACUCCUACGGGAGGCAGCAGUGGGGAAUAUUGCACAAUGGGCGGAAGCCUGAGGCAGCAACGCCGCGUGCGGGAUGACGGCCUUCGGGUUGUAAACCGCUUUCGCCUGUGACGAAGCGUGAUUGACGGUAAUGGGUAAAGAAGCACCGGCUAACUACGUG
rnacentral:rRNA from 1 species